UACAAAAUUCAUGGGUUUCAUUAUAGAUAUGAUAUCAGAGCAUAAGUUUAGUUACAAGUUCAUUGAGCUACUGAAGUGUCUGGAAUAAUUAGAAUUAAUUAGAAAUCACUGAUUACCGCACACCAAAGCACAGUAUCGUAGACUUUAGAGACCCUCCACGUCAGCACGACUUUGGCGAAAUUCCUGGAAACCCAGAAGUAGAAAACGGAAGUAAUGACGUCACUAAUGACGUCACAUACAAGAAGGUGGCAUGACAUUUAAGCGGCUAAUUAAUG
rnacentral:lncRNA from 1 species